AUACGAAGGGGGCUAGCGUUGUUCGGAUUUACUGGGCGUAAAGCGCACGUAGGCGGGUCGUUAAGUCGGGGGUGAAAUCCUGGAGCUCAACUCCAGAACUGCCUUCGAUACUGGCGACCUAGAGUCCGGAAGAGGUGAGUGGAACUCCUAGUGUAGAGGUGGAAUUCGUAGAUAUUAGGAAGAACACCAGUGGCGAAGGCGGCUCACUGGUCCGGUACUGACGCUGAGGUGCGAAAGCGUGGGGAGC
rnacentral:rRNA from 1 species